CCCACCAUGGCCUGGACAGUGCUUCUUCUCUGGCUCCUCACUUACAGCUCAGGGGCAGAUUCUCAGGCUGUGGUGAUCCAGGAGCCAUCAUUCUCUGUGUCCCUAGGGGGGACGGUCAUACUCACCUGUGGCCUUAGCACUGGGUCAGUCUCUACCAGUAACUAUCCUAGAUGGUACCAGCAGACCCCAGGCAAGGCUCCCCGUACACUCACCUACAGCACAAACAACCGCCUCUCUGGGAUCCCUGAACGCUUCUCUGGAUCCAUCUCAGGAAACAAAGCCGCCCUCACCAUCACGGGGGCCCAGCCCGAGGACGAGGCCGACUAUUACUGUGAUCUGUAUGUGGAUCGUGGUGUUUCCACA